rnacentral:rRNA from 1 species
CGGCGGACGGGUGAGUAACACGUGGAUAACCUACCUAUAAGACUGGGAUAACUUCGGGAAACCGGAGCUAAUACCGGAUAAUAUAUUGAACCGCAUGGUUCAAUAGGGAAAGACGGUUUUGCUGUCACUUAUAGAUGGAUCCGCGCCGCAUUAGCUAGUUGGUAAGGUAACGGCUUACCAAGGCAACGAUGCGUAGCCGACCUGAGAGGGUGAUCGGCCACACUGGAACUGAGACACGGUCCAG